GAUGAACGCUGGCGGCGUGCCUAAUACAUGCAAGUCGAGCGAACAGACGAGGAGCUUGCUCCUUUGACGUUAGCGGCGGACGGGUGAGUAACACGUGGAUAACCUACCUAUAAGACUGGGAUAACUUCGGGAAACCGGAGCUAAUACCGGAUAACAUGCUGAACCGCAUGGUUCAACAGUGAAAGACGGUCUUGCUGUCACUUAUAGAUGGAUCCGCGCCGCAUUAGCUAGUUGGUAAGGUAACGGCUUACCAAGGCAACGAUGCGUAGCCGACCUGAGAGGGUGAUCGGCCACACUGGAACUGAGACACGGUCCAGACUCCUACGGGAGGCAGCAGUAGGGAAUCUUCCGCAAUGGGCGAAAGCCUGACGGAGCAACGCCGCGUGAGUGAAGAAGGUCUUCGGAUCGUAAAACUCUGUUAUUAGGGAAGAACAAAUGUGUAAGUAACUAUGCACGUCUUGACGGUACCUAAUCAGAAAGCCACGGCUAACUACGUG
rnacentral:rRNA from 1 species